rnacentral:rRNA from 1 species
GAUGAGCGCUGGCGGCGUGCCUAAUACAUGCAAGUCGAGCGGUAACAGGUCUAGUUUACUAGAUGCUGACGAGCGGCGGACGGCUGAGUAACACGUAGGAACGUACCCCAAAGUGAGGGAUAACUGCUCGAAAGAGUAGCUAAUACCGCAUGUGAUCUAAGGAUUAAAGCUUUAUGCGCUUUGGGAACGGCCUGCGUUCGAUUAGCUAGUUGGUGAGGUAAUAGCUCACCAAGGCGAUGAUCGAUAGCUGGUCUGAGAGGAUGAUCAGCCAGACUGGGACUGAGACACGGCCCAGACUCCUACGGGAGGCAGCAGUAGGGAAUUUUCCACAAUGGACGAAAGUCUGAUGGAGCAACGCCGCGUGCAGGAUGAAUGUCUUCGGAUUGUAAACUGUCUUUUGUUGGUGAAGAAUAUGACGUAACCAACGAAUAA